CUUCUGUGCGUUCCACAUUUUUCCCCUGUUUCUUUGACCUAUUGUACGUAUUAUGGAAGCUAGAGAGAAUCUUGCUUCCCUAAUACAUAUCGUCCAAGUACCGUACUACCGCAACUGCUCCGAUACAGGGUGCUGAAACAAUGAGACUUACUCCGGACCUCCAAACCAAGGAAGUUUCCGUGUUCUAAGCAGCUAGUGACGCUCUGGUGUGUUGUGGUGCGUGUAUGUGUGUGUGUGUGUGCGCCAGACGUUGUGCUUUCUUGAAUGUUAAUUAGUGGUCAAGGUGGAACAGGACUGGGGAAGUCUUAACCGAAACCUGCGUCUCUCAGCCCAGCAGGUGCGUGGAGUUGGUAAUGGGUGGAACAUUCCUGAGCGUGGUAGUGGUGGUGGUGGCGGUGUUGCUGGGGAAGGGAGGCCGCGUCGCUGCCCACGAGCCUCCUGUGGUGAGGACACCCCAUCACCACUUCGCCCAGCUGUCUCAACUCGGAUACCCUUGGGAGCCACACUACCUCCUGCAGCGGAUACACGGCCUCCCGCUGCCCCUCAGGGUGCACUACAUCGACGAAGGACCUCACGACGCUCCCGAGACCCUCUUGUUGCUGCACGGGACGCCUUCCUGGUCCUUCCUGUACCGCAAAGUCGUGCCGGGCCUCCUCGCCGCUGGUUACCGUGUCGUAGCGCCUGACCACAUCGGUUUCGGGCGUUCCGAUAAACUGACAGACCCCAAUGAGUACUCCCAUGAGAUGCACGUAACCACGGUCCUGCAGCUGCUGAAGGAGCUCGACCUGAAGGGUGUGACACUAAUUGCACACGAUCUCGGAGGCCCGACGGGCGUGAGCGCCAUGGCCCGGGACCCAUCUCGCUUCCGCCGCGUGGUGCUGCUCAACACGUGGCUGCCACAGGGGGACAUAUUCAGCUCCUUCUUCCGCGCAAGCGAGCACGCCCCUUACUUGGCGUUCCGUGGUUUGGUUCAAAGUUUGGGUCGACAGCAAUCCGUGGAGACUGUGUUCAGAGUGGCCUCGAAGGCUCCGCGGGACGCAAUCUCCCAUGGGUAUGGGGCUCCCUUCCCCUCAUAUCUGUACCAGGCAGGGCCCGCGUGGUGGCCGCUUUUGAUCCCUCUGACAAAGGAUGACCCAAUGGCUCGCGAGAUGCAGAAAGCUGCGCUUUUUCUCCUGAAGUGGGGCGGCCCCGCUCUCAUCGCCUACAGUGACGGGGAGCUGUUCACUCUGCCGGGAAAGGCACUGCUGCAGCGAGUUCUGCCACAAGCUUGUGAGGCUCAGAUUCCCGACGCUGGCCACUUUCUGCAGGAAGACCAAGGACCGCUAAUAUCACGCCUCAUAAUCACCUUCAUCAAGAGGGGCUGCAGCCCAGAGUCACGCAGUCUCACGCCCGAGCUAUGAUGUUCAUGUGGCGACACCACCGCUCAGAGCAGGAAGGCCAACAAAAUCUCUAAGCCAGGGUGAUACUGUUCACAUCUCUAUAUCUACUCAGUUCCUUUUAGAUAUAAGGUGUGAGGGAAGGAGAAGCACCAGCAUGCGAAAGAGAAGGAAGACGAGGAGAGAACAUAAGAGGAUAAGGACGAGAGUUAAAAUGAGAAGCAGUAUAGUUAAGCAAGGCGAAGACUGCAGCUGCUGACGAGACAGUGAACGAGUCGGGACUCCGGAUCCUUGGCAGACGUGUGGAGUAACCCGGAGAGUGUGCAACAGAGGCUGCUGUGUCCGUUAGAGAAGAUGUGUAUUUUCCUGAACAAGUCUUUAUGUUCCCGAGGAUUUCAGUGAGCCAAUCAGACCUCAGGAACCAGUCACCAAUCAUGGGCAGCCAACUAGAAAGGCAGCCAGGCAGGUCAGAGGCAAGGCAGUCGCCGAGACACCGGCAGGGGAACAGCUGCUUGCCCUGGCUGUUCGGUUGAAUAAUCUGCUGUGUUAAUACUGCAUGGCGUGCUGGGAUUCCCCGGAAGACAGAGUGAAGGGAAAAGAAUGGAAGUUUUGUCAUCUUUCUUUUCCCUUGCUUCUGCUACAAAUAUAUAUUUUCCUGUGAGGAGCAUGCAGCCACAACACAGAUAGUGAACAGAGAAGUCCACCACCUUGAAGCAGCAGUGGAGGACAGUCUUGAAAUGCCCAGGCACAAGGAAGAGUAUUCAUUGUCAUCAGAGAGAACUGCUUAAAUACUGUGCAAGGUCUCUCUCUCUCUCUCUCUCUCUCUCUCUCUUAUAAUCAUUGAAAAAUCACAAUUUGAAUUCAUCAAGAUCAGUCCAAUUUGGAUAGUUAUAAAAAUCCAUUUACUUUUCAUAUAGUUAAAAUACUUUAUGGUUUUAUUUCUCUGAUGAAGAAAGUUGUAACUAGUUUUGUUUUACAGUCCAAUGGCCAGGGUCCCUUUGGGAAGAGCAUUACAUUACCUUUACCAGCUACUAAUGGCUCCCAAGUGAUAAGAGUAGGACGGCCACACAGACACACACAGUCUCUACCUCACCCUGGACUAUGAAAGUUCACACCUCUAUUAAUCUUAGUAAAAUUAGUGUGGCAAAGAAAGGUAGUGAAGAAUUUUAACAUCAGAUAUUAAAGUAACACAGAAUGGCACAUGAAAGAUUGUGAGGCUUUAUUAUUAAUAGAAUGAGUAUGGUACAGAAAAGAUGAAAGAUAAGAGAUUUCAUUGAGGAUUAGACUUAGUGAUACACAAGAAACUAAAUAGUACAUGAAAGAUUGUGGGGUGGAUGACUGUAUGAAGGUAUAUGAAUUUCAGUACAUUGCAAAA